UGGGGAAUAUUGGACAAUGGGCGCAAGCCUGAUCCAGCCAUGCCGCGUGAGUGAUGACGGCCUUAGGGUUGUAAAGCUCUUUUCUCCGGGACGAUAAUGACGGUACCGGAGGAAUAAGCCCCGGCUAACUUCGUGCCAGCAGCCGCGGUAAUACGAAGGGGGCUAGCGUUGCUCGGAAUCACUGGGCGUAAAGGGCGCGUAGGCGGCGUUUUAAGUCGGGGGUGAAAGCCUGUGGCUCAACCACAGAAUGGCCUUCGAUACUGGGACGCUUGAGUCUGGUAGAGGUUGGUGGAACUGCGAGUGUAGAGGUGAAAUUCGUAGAUAUUCGCAAGAACACCGGUGGCGAAGGCGGCCAACUGGACCAGUACUGACGCUGAGGCGCGAAAGCGUGGGAGCAAACAGG
rnacentral:rRNA from 1 species